AUGGCCCUCGUCAACCCGAACAACAAGAUGAGGACCACGGCUAUUGCUGUCCUGGUCCUUGUAAUGGUGUCUGCUUGUACCUUACCGUCCUGCCAUGCGGCGCAUAAGUAUAAUCUUGCUGCAUCUCCUCCAGGUGGUACCCGAUAUUGCUCCUUUUUGAUAGGAGGUCAAGCAUGCAGUUAUUCCGCUUGCAACGACAUGUGCAGCAGGAUGGCGCGGGGACAGCAGCAUUUCACGUUUUGCACCCGCCCUGGCCAGUGCUGUUGUUGGUUUACAUAG
rnacentral:rRNA from 1 species